rnacentral:rRNA from 1 species
AGAUUAAGUUAUUAAGGGCGCACGGUGAAUACCUUGGCACUAGAAGCCGAAGAAGGACGUUACUAACGACGAUAUGCUUUGGGGAGCUGUAAGUAAGCUGUGAUCCAGAGAUUUCCGAAUGGGGAAACCCAGCACGAGUUAUGUCGUGUUAUCUACAUGUGAAUACAUAGCAUGUAAGAAGGCAGACCCGGAGAACUGAAACAUCUUAGUACCCGGAGGAAGAGAAAGAAAAAUCGAUUCCCUGAGUAGCGGCGAGCGAAACGGGAAGAGCCCAAACCAACAAGCUUGCUUGUUGGGGUUGUAGGACACUCUAUACGGAGUUACAAAAGGACAUGUUAGACGAAUAACCUGGAAAGGUUAAUCAUAGAAGGUAAUAAUCCUGUAGUCGAAAACGUGACCUCUCUUGAGUGGAUCCUGAGUACGGCGGAGCACGUGAAAUUCCGUCGGAAUCUGGGAGGACCAUCUCCUAAGGCUAAAUACUCUCUAGUGACCGAUAGUGAACCAGUACCGUGAGGGAAAGGUGAAAAGUACCCCGGAAGGGGAGUGAAAGAGAACUUGAAACCGUGUGCUUACAAGUAGUCAGAGCCCGUUAAUGGGUGAUGGCGUGCCUUUUGUAGAAUGAACCGGCGAGUUACGAUCUGAUGCAAGGUUAAGCAGAAAAUGUGGAGCCGUAGCGAAAGCGAGUCUGAAUAGGGCGAAUGAGUAUUUGGUCGUAGACCCGAAACCAGGUGAUCUACCCUUGGUCAGGUUGAAGUUCAGGUAACACUGAAUGGAGGACCGAACCGACUUACGUUGAAAAGUGAGCGGAUGAACUGAGGGUAGCGGAGAAAUUCCAAUCGAACUUGGAGAUAGCUGGUUCUCUCCGAAAUAGCUUUAGGGCUAGCCUCAAGUGAUGAUUAUUGGAGGUAGAGCACUGUUUGGACGAGGGGCCCCUCUCGGGUUACCGAAUUCAGACAAACUCCGAAUGCCAAAUAAUUUAACUUGGGAGUCAGAAUGUGGGUGAUAAGGUCCAUAUUCGAAAGGGAAACAGCCCAGACCACCAGCUAAGGUCCCAAAAUAUAUGUUAAGUGGAAAAGGAUGUGGCGUUGCCCAGACAACUAGGAUGUUGGCUUAGAAGCAGCCAUCAUUUAAAGAGUGCGUAAUAGCUCACUAGUCGAGUGACACUGCGCCGAAAAUGUACCGGGGCUAAACAUAUUACCGAAGCUGUGGAUUGUCCGUAGGACAAUGGUAGGAGAGCGUUCUAAGGGCGUUGAAGCAUGAUCGCAAGGACAUGUGGAGCGCUUAGAAGUGAGAAUGCCGGUGUGAGUAGCGAAAGACGGGUGAGAAUCCCGUCCACCGAUUGACUAAGGUUUCCAGAGGAAGGCUCGUCCGCUCUGGGUUAGUCGGGUCCUAAGCUGAGGCCGAAAGGCGUAGGCGAUGGAUAACAGGUUGAUAUUCCUGUACCACCUAAAUUCGGUUUUAAGCGAUGGGGGGACGCAGUAGGAUAGGCGAAGCGUGCUGUUGGAGUGCACGUCUAAGCAGUGAGAUUGAGUGUUAGGCAAAUCCGGCACUCGUAAAGAUUGAGCUGUGAUGGGGAGAAGAAACAAGUUUCUUCGAGUCGUUGAUUUCACACUGCCGAGAAAAGCCUCUAGCUAGAAAAUAGGUGCCCGUACCGCAAACCGACACAGGUAGUCAAGAUGAGAAUUCUAAGGUGAGCGAGCGAACUCUCGUUAAGGAACUCGGCAAAAUGACCCCGUAACUUCGGGAGAAGGGGUGCUCUUUAGGGUUCACGCUCUGAAGAGCCGCAGUGAAUAGGCCCAAGCGACUGUUUAUCAAAAACACAGGUCUCUGCUAAACCGUAAGGUGACGUAUAGGGGCUGACGCCUGCCCGGUGCUGGAAGGUUAAGAGGAGUGGUUAGCUUCUGCGAAGCUACGAAUCGAAGCCCCAGUAAACGGCGGCCGUAACUAUAACGGUCCUAAGGUAGCGAAAUUCCUUGUCGGGUAAGUUCCGACCCGCACGAAAGGCGUAACGAUUUGGGCACUGUCUCAACGAGAGACUCGGUGAAAUCAUAGUACCGGUGAAGAUGCCGGUUACCCGCGACAGGACGGAAAGACCCCGUGGAGCUUUACUGUAGCCUGAUAUUGAAAUUCGGUACAGUUUGUACAGGAUAGGUAGGAGCCAUAGAAGCGUGAGCGCUAGCUUACGUGGAGGCAUUGGUGGGAUACUACCCUAAUUGUAUUGGAUUUCUAACCCGCAGCACUUAGCGUGCUGGGAGACAGUGUCAGGCGGGCAGUUUGACUGGGGCGGUCGCCUCCUAAAGAGUAACGGAGGCGCUCAAAGGUUCCCUCAGAAUGG